rnacentral:rRNA from 1 species
AUCCAGCCAUGCCGCGUGUGUGAAGAAGGCCUUUUGGUUGUAAAGCACUUUAAGCGAGGAGGAGGCUCCUUUAGUUAAUACCUAAAGAGAGUGGACGUUACUCGCAGAAUAAGCACCGGCUAACUCUGUGCCAGCAGCCGCGGUAAUACAGAGGGUGCGAGCGUUAAUCGGAUUUACUGGGCGUAAAGCGUGCGUAGGCGGC